rnacentral:rRNA from 1 species
UACGUAGGGGGCAAGCGUUGUCCGGAGCUAUUGGGCGUAAAGCGCGUGUAGGCGGCUCGGUAAGUCUGCUGUGAAAGUCCAGGGCUCAACCCUGGAACGCCGGUGGAUACUGUCGAGCUCGAGUCCGGAAGAGGCGAGUGGAAUUCCUGGUGUAGCGGUGAAAUGCGCAGAUAUCAGGAGGAACACCAAUGGCGAAGGCAGCUCGCUGGGACGGUACUGACGCUGAGACGCGAAAGCGUGGGGAGCAAACAGG